GCAUAAGCGCACAGCUUCGCAUGAAGCAGUGUGGAAAACAAAAAGCUAAAGCUUUUGGUGGUAUACGAUGGAUCCGCGUCUGAUUAGCUUGUUGGCGGGGUAAAGGCCCACCAAGGCGACGAUCAGUAGCCGGCCUGAGAGGGUGAACGGCCACAUUGGGACUGAGACACGGCCCAAACUCCUACGGGAGGCAGCAGUGGGGAAUAUUGCACAAUGGGGGAAACCCUGAUGCAGCGACGCCGCGUGAGUGAAGAAGUAUUUCGGUAUGUAAAGCUCUAUCAGCAGGGAAGAAAAUGACGGUACCUGACUAAGAAGCCCCGGCUAACUACGUGCCAGCAGCCGCGGUAAUACGUAGGGGGCAAGCGUUAUCCGGAUUUACUGGGUGUAAAGGGAGCGUAGACGGCAGCGCAAGUCUGGAGUGAAAUCCCAUGGCUUAACCAUGGAACUGCUUUGGAAACUGUGCAGCUAGAGUGCAGGAGAGGUAAGCGGAAUUCCUAGUGUAGCGGUGAAAUGCGUAGAUAUUAGGAGGAACACCAGUGGCGAAGGCGGCUUACUGGACUGUAACUGACGUUGAGGCUCGAAAGCGUGGGAAGCAAACAGGAUUAGAUACCCUGGUAG
rnacentral:rRNA from 1 species